rnacentral:rRNA from 1 species
UACGGAGGAUGCGAGCGUUAUCCGGAUUUAUUGGGUUUAAAGGGUGCGUAGGCUGUGCGCUAAGUCAGGGGUGAAAUGUCCGGGCUCAACCUGGGAGCUGCCCUUGAUACUGGCGUGCUGGAGUACGGAUGCCGUUGGAGGAAUGAGUGGUGUAGCGGUGAAAUGCAUAGAUAUCACUCAGAACACCGAUUGCGAAGGCAUCUGACGAAUCCGUCACUGACGCUGAGGCACGAAAGCGUGGGGAUAGAAC